rnacentral:misc_RNA from 1 species
UCCGGCUUAUCACCGGCAGUCCCCUUAGAGUGCCCAACUGAAUGAUGGCAACUAAGGGCGAGGGUUGCGCUCGUUGCGGGACUUAACCCAACAUCUCACGACACGAGCUGACGACAACCAUGCACCACCUGUGAACCGACCGCAAGCGGGGCACCUGUUUCCAGGUAUUUCCAGUCCAUGUCAAGCCUUGGUAAGGUUUUUCGCGUUGCAUCGAAUUAAUCCACAUAAUCCACCGCUUGUGCGGGUCCCCGUCAAUUCCUUUGAGUUUUAAUCUUGCGACCGUACUCCCCAGGCGGGGCACUUAAUGCGUUAGCUGCGGCACCCAAGGGGUCAAUACCUCGGACACCUAGUGCCCAUCGUUUACAGCGUGGACUAC